GACGAACGCUGGCGGCGCGCUUAACACAUGCAAGUCGAACGGAAAGGCCUGCUUUCCCUUGUGGAUUGCGGGUACUCGAGUGGCGAACGGGUGAGUAACACGUGAGUGAUCUGCCCCCAACUUGGGUAUAAGCCUGGGAAACUGGGUCUAAUUCCCGAUAGGACUGCAGGGUGGUGCCUGUGGUGGAAAACGAUUUUCUAGUGGUGGGGGAUGAGCUCGCGGCCUAUCAGCUUGUUGGUGGGGUAAUGGCCUACCAAGGCGGCGACGGGUAGCCGGCCUGAGAGGGUGGACGGCCACAUUGGGACUGAGAUACGGCCCAGACUCCUACGGGAGGCAGCAGUGGGGAAUAUUGCACAAUGGGCGGAAGCCUGAUGCAGCGACGCCGCGUGGGGGAUGACGGCCUUCGGGUUGUAAACUCCUUUCGACCGCGAGGAAGCCACCUGGUUGGAAGGGUGGUGACGGUAGUGGUAGAAGAAGCACCGGCUAACUACGUG
rnacentral:rRNA from 1 species